rnacentral:lncRNA from 1 species
GUAGAAAGAACUAUGGGCGUCAUGUGGCAAAUAUUACAUGCAUAUCGGACAAUGAGUUGUCAAUCUGUAUGAAAAGAUUUCCAAUACAACCAUAUUAUUGAGAAGGAAUGUUUACAUGCUAUACUCUCGUACUAGUAUUACAGGGUUCUUGUGGCGUUCACCUUAGACACACAUCUUUUUAACGAUGUUUAAAAAAAAAGACAGAACCAAUUUAAUGUCAUAUUUCCCUAUUUUUUAAAUAUAACUAAAAGUCUUUUAUCUGACAAGAAUACCCCUAUUUAGCGAACAAGUAAUUUAUUCUUUUUUUCUGUUAUUGAAUACCAAGAAAGAAAAUAAAUCCCGAAAUUAAUUUGAAACUUUUGAUACUCAAAAGUUUCCCAGCAAAAUAUUCACAUUCCCUGGGGAUAAUUAGUGUUCGUCCAGUGGCAUAUAUAACAAUUGUGAUGACGAAUUACUUCCUUUGUUCGAGAAC